UUGACUUGUUUCAGGAGCAAGAUGCUAAUAACGGUUUCAUUUUCCUUUUUUUUUCUAUUUUUAAUAGUUUAGGUGCAUUUACUAUGAGAUAGAGAGAUGGAAAAUAGCACAGUAUCAAGACUCCUCAAUUCACAGUUUGACACUCAGAGAAAAGGCUCAACCUUGUGCUUCACUGGUCUUGUCGUUAGUUGCUCGUGUUUACACAUCUGUAUCUCUCUAGGGAAGCAAUCUUUAUCAUUAGUGAGUCAUUUCUUGACCUUUACAACUGGUUCUUCUGGGCUGAUUGGAAAAAACCACCUGUAUGAAGUAUCACUAGGAAGGUUCACAGAACGGAAGGAAGCUAUAGUCCCUGAAUGCAAGGAGCUGAUCUUCAAAAGAGAAGAAAUCAUACAAAAGUAUGCAAGGCUAACAAAGAAAAUAAUAUAUUCUAUUCCCUUCUGGAUGCAAAUCAGCACACAGCUAUAAUUCUGUGUAAAUAUGUUUUUUCACAUACAUGAAAUUAUUGUGAGUUAUGAAGAGAUUGCUAGUC
rnacentral:lncRNA from 1 species